rnacentral:rRNA from 1 species
AUUGAACGCUGGCGGCAGGCUUAACACAUGCAAAUCGAGCGGAGAUGAGGUGCUUGCACCUUAUCUUAGCGGCGGACGGGUGAGUAAUGCUUAGGAAUCUGCCUAUUAGUGGGGGACAACAUUCCGAAAGGAAUGCUAAUACCGCAUACGUCCUACGGGAGAAAGCAGGGGAUCUUCGGACCUUGCGCUAAUAGAUGAGCCUAAGUCGGAUUAGCUAGUUGGUGGGGUAAAGGCCUACCAAGGCGACGAUCUGUAGCGGGUCUGAGAGGAUGAUCCGCCACACGGGGACGGAGACACGGCCCAGACUCCUACGGGAGGCAGCAGUGGGGAAUAUUGGACAAUUGGGGGAACCCAGAGCCAGCCAUGCCGCGUGUGUGAAGAAGGCCUUAUGGUUGUAAAGCACUUUAAGCGAGGAGGAGGCUAAUGAGACUAAUACUCUUGGAUAGUGGACGUUACUCGCAGAAUAAGCACCGGCUAACUCUGUGCCAGCAGCCGCGGUAACAC